rnacentral:rRNA from 1 species
GACGAACGCUGGCGGCGUGCUUAACACAUGCAAGUCGUACGGUAAGGCCCUUUCGGGGGUACACGAGUGGCGAACGGGUGAGUAACACGUGAGUAACCUGCCCACAACUUUGGGAUAACGCUAGGAAACUGGUGCUAAUACUGGAUAUGUGCUCCUGCUGCAUGGUGGGGGUUGGAAAGCUCCGGCGGUUGUGGAUGGACUCGCGGCCUAUCAGCUUGUUGGUGGGGUAGUGGCCUACCAAGGCGGCGACGGGUAGCCGGCCUGAGAGGGUGACCGGCCACAUUGGGACUGAGAUACGGCCCAGACUCCUACGGGAGGCAGCAGUGGGGAAUAUUGCACAAUGGGCGCAAGCCUGAUGUAGCAACGCCGCGUGCGGGAUGACGGCCUUCGGGUUGUAAACCGCUUUCAGCAGGGACGAAGCUUUUUGUGACGGUACCUGCAGAAGAAGCACCGGCUAACUACGU